UACAGAGGGUGCAAGCGUUGUUCGGAAUUAUUGGGCGUAAAGCGCGUGUAGGCGGCUUUGCAAGUCGGGUGUGAAAGCCCUCAGCUCAACUGAGGAAGUGCGCCCGAAACUGCAGAGCUUGAGUGCCGGAGAGGGUGGCGGAAUUCCCCAAGUAGAGGCGAAAUUCGUAGAUAUGGGGAGGAACACCGGUGGCGAAGGCGGCCACCUGGACGGUAACUGACGCUGAGACGCGAAAGCGUGGGGAGCAAACAGG
rnacentral:rRNA from 1 species